rnacentral:rRNA from 1 species
UACGUAGGGUGCAAGCGUUGCCCGGAUUUAUUGGGCGUAAAGGGCGCGUAGGCGGCUCGGCACGUCCGUUGUGAAAUCGCCCGGCUCAACUGGGCGGGUCAGCGGAUACGGUGUGACUGGAGCAAGCUAGGGGCAAUGGAAUUCCCGGUGUAGUGGUGGAAUGCGUAGAUAUCGGGAGGAACACCAGUGGCGAAGGCGGUUGCCUGGAGCUUUGCUGACGCUGAUGCGCGAAAGCGUGGGAGCGAGUCCGG